AUUGAACGCUGGCGGCAUGCCUUACACAUGCAAGUCGAACGGUAACAGGUCUUCGGAUGCUGACGAGUGGCGAACGGGUGAGUAAUACAUCGGAACGUGCCUAGUAGUGGGGGAUAACUACUCGAAAGAGUGGCUAAUACCGCAUGGGAUCUACGGAUGAAAGCAGGGGAUCGCAAGACCUUGUGCUACUAGAGCGGCCGAUGGCAGAUUAGGUAGUUGGUGGGAUAAAAGCUUACCAAGCCGACGAUCUGUAGCUGGUCUGAGAGGACGAUCAGCCACACUGGGACUGAGACACGGCCCAGACUCCUACGGGAGGCAGCAGUGGGGAAUUUUGGAAAAUGGGCGAAAGCCUGAUCCAGCAAUGCCGCGUGCAGGAUGAAGGCCUUCGGGUUGUAAACUGCUUUUGUACGGAACGAAAAGCCCUGGGUUAAUACCCUGGGGUCAUGACGGUACCGUAAGAGUAAGCACCGGCUAACUACGUGCCAGCCGCCGCCGUAA
rnacentral:rRNA from 1 species